GCUAGCGUUGUUCGGAAUCACUGGGCGUAAAGCGCACGCAGGCGGAUCGUUAAGUCAGGGGUGAAAUGCCGAGGCUCAACCUCGGAACUGCCUUUGAUACUGGCGAUCUUAGAGUCCGGGAGAGGUGAGUGGAACUCCGAGUGUAGAGGUGAAAUUCGUAGAUAUUCGGAAGAACACCAGUGGCGAAGGCGGCUCACUGGCCCGGUACUGACGCUCAGGUGCGAAAGCGUGGGGAGCAAACAGG
rnacentral:rRNA from 1 species